rnacentral:sRNA from 1 species
UGCUGCCCGCGUGAGGGAUAGAAGCGGCAUCCUUUUUUUGCCGGGUAAAACCCGGAAAAAAAAGAUAGAGCGGAGAGCCCGGCCCGAA